CCAAUACAUAAAAUUGGGAUGGAGGAAGCUUUUUAAUUGCUUAUUUUUUUAACUAAAAAAGAAAGUCAUAGGAAAAUUUAUGAGUCAUUUCCUGUGAACAUUUUCACCUUUAGCAUAUUAGUGUCUGCAUCUUUAACUAUUUCUGUAAACAUUUGUUCUGGCAUUUGCAUCAACUGCUUACACUUUUUUACGAAGAUCAUUGGGCAUGCAUUUUUUUUUCCUGAAUAGAAUUUGCAAGGAGUUUCUCAUUUGCAUGUCAAAUAUUUUAUAUUUAUAUUCAAACAAUUACCCUGUGGAUGUGGUGGCAGAAAGUGUGAAAGGAUCAGACAUUGUGUUGGAAGCAAUAGUUGAAGCAGAAGUAGCACAUAAUGCCAAAGAUUUCUUUUCACAGCCCCAGAAUCAAAUACAAUGAGUAGACAGUUUUGCUAGCUGCCGCUUGCUGUAAUGGUAAAGUUGCUCUUACAUUAUAUGAAACCGGUAUACCACACCUUAUGCAAGUCAGUUCCUUUGAAUUCUUAAUCUAAAACAUGCUUGCCAGUUUUUUUUGGUACAAUCUUUUGGUGGUAAUGCAGCAAAGUUGCUUGGGGGCUUGACUAUCAAGCUUUAUUAAUUGGAAAUUUUAUUCAAAUGCUUAGAUCUAAUGAGAGCUCGGGCUCAAAUGGCACUUCUCUCAUAAGAAUGACAGGGUGAGGUUAUGGACUCAAGCCCGUUGUGUAACUAACCAAUAAAAAAAAUGCUUAGAUUCAAGAAUUGAAAAUGUCAGAAUGGACUAGUCUUAAAAUUAUUGUUCAA